AGUGAACGCUGGCGGUAUGCCUAACACAUGCAAGUCGAACGGCAGCACAGUAUGCGCUUGCUCUUACGGGUGGCGAGUGGCGGACGGGUGAGGAAUACAUCGGCAUCUACUUUUUCGUGGGGGAUAACGUAGGGAAACUUACGCUAAUACCGCAUACGACCUACGGGUGAAAUCAGGGGAUCUUCGGACCUUGCGCGAUUGAAUGAGCCAAUGUCGGAUUAGCUAGUUGGCGGGGUAAAGGCCCACCAAGGCGACGAUCCGUAGCUGGUCUGAGAGGAUGAUCAGCCACACUGGAACUGAGACACGGUCCAGACUCCUACGGGAGGCAGCAGUGGGGAAUUUUGGACAAUGGGGGCAAGCCUGAUCCAGCCAUUCCGCGUGGGUGAAGAAGGCCUUCGGGUUGUAAAGCCCUUUUGUUGGGAAAGAAAAGCAGGAGGUUAAUACCCCGCUGUUCUGACGGUACCCAAAGAAUAAGCACCGGCUAACUUCGUG
rnacentral:rRNA from 1 species